GACGAACGCUGGCGGCACGCUUAACACAUGCAAGUCGAACGGAGAUAAUUUGAGUUUACUUAGAUUAUCUUAGUGGCGGACGGGUGAGUAACACGUGAGCAACCUACCUUUGAGAGAGGGAUAGCUUCUGGAAACGGAUGGUAAUACCUCAUAACGUAGUUUUACCGCAUGAUAGGACUACCAAAGAUUUAUCACUCAAAGAUGGGCUCGCGUCUGAUUAGCUAGAUGGUGAGGUAACGGCUCACCAUGGCGACGAUCAGUAGCCGGACUGAGAGGUUGAACGGCCACAUUGGGACUGAGACACGGCCCAGACUCCUACGGGAGGCAGCAGUGGGGAAUAUUGCACAAUGGGGGAAACCCUGAUGCAGCGAUGCCGCGUGGAGGAAGAAGGUUUUCGGAUUGUAAACUCCUGUCUUAAAGGACGAUAAUGACGGUACUUUAGGAGGAAGCUCCGGCUAACUACGUGCCAGCAGCCGCGGUAAAAUGUAGCGUG
rnacentral:rRNA from 1 species